rnacentral:misc_RNA from 1 species
GAUGAAGAACGCAGCGAAAUGCGAUAAGUAAUGUGAAUUGCAGAAUUCAGUGAAUCAUCGAAUCUUUGAACGCACAUUGCGCCCCUUGGUAUUCCAUGGGGCAUGCCUGUUCGAGCGUCAUUUGUACCUUCAAGCCUUGCUUGGUGUUGGGUGUUUGUCUCGCCUCUGCGCGCAGACUCGCCUCAAAACAAUUGGCAGCCGGCGUAUUGAUUUCGGAGCGCAGUACAUCUCGCGCUUUGCACUCAGAACGACGACGUCCAAAAGUACAUUUUUACACUCUUGACCUCGGAUCAGGUAGGGAUACCCGCUGAACUUAAGCAUAUCAUAAGCGGAGGA